GCCCUUAUAGCUCAGUUGGAAGAGCAGCACACUUGUAAUGUGCAGGUCGUAAGUUCAAAUCUUACUGAGGGCA
rnacentral:tRNA from 1 species